GACGAACGCUGGCGGCGCGCUUAACACAUGCAAGUCGAGCGAAGCGGCGGACGGGUGAGUAACACGUGAGUAACCUGCCUUAGACAUUGGGAUAGCCUCGGGAAACCGGGAUUAAUACCAAAUGGUCUAAGAUUGACUCGCGUCCCAUUAGCUAGUUGGUGAGGUAACGGCCCACCAAGGCGACGAUGGGUAGCCGGCCUGAGAGGGUGAACGGCAACAUUGGAAGUGAGAAACGGUCCAAACUCGACGGGAGGCAGCAGUGGGGUAUAGUGCACAAUGGAGGGAACUCUGAUGCAGCGACGCCGCGUGAACGAAGAAGGCUUUCGAGUCGUAAAGUUCUGUUAUAUGGGAAGCGGUACCAUAAGAAAAAGCCCCGGCUAACUACGUGCCAGCAGCCGCUGUAAUUC
rnacentral:rRNA from 1 species